rnacentral:rRNA from 1 species
AGGACGAACGCUGGCGGCGUGCUUAACACAUGCAAGUCGAGCGGAAAGGCCCUUCGGGGUACUCGAGCGGCGAACGGGUGAGUAACACGUGAGCAACCUGCCCUUAGCUCUGGGAUAGCUCCGGGAAACCGGAAUUAAUACCGGAUAUGACCUAGGCCGACAUCGGCCGUGGUGGAAAGUUUUUCGGCUAGGGAUGGACUCGCGGCCUAUCAGCUAGUUGGUGGGGUAAUGGCCUACCAAGGCGACGACGGGUAGCCGGCCUGAGAGGGCGACCGGCCACACUGGGACUGAGACACGGCCCAGACUCCUACGGGAGGCAGCAGUGGGGAAUCUUGCGCAAUGGGCGAAAGCCUGACGCAGCGACGCCGCGUGGGGAUGAAGGCCUUCGGGUUGUAACCCCUUUCAGCAGGGACGAAGCGAAAGUGACGGUACCUGCAGAAGAAGCGCCGGCUAACUACGUGCCAGCAGCCGC